rnacentral:sRNA from 1 species
CCCUUCGGCCGUCACGCCGGCGUCGGCGGCGCCUUUCCCUGGCCCCAGCCCUGGAAGUCAGAGGGCCUAAGAGCGGCCGUCCCUGAGAGGCUCCGGACGGCCGAGGCGCCGAGAGGAGACAGCCGGAGCGCGACGGGGUGUGUGUACAUUCGAAACUCCACUGAACCUUGAUUGAAGGCCUACAGUGUGGCAGUCCAUGGCCUGGGGACUGAUGAUGUCUACCGUAGAAAAGCCUCAGAAAGACAGUAUCAGAGAAGGCUGGAAGAUGAAUGAGACUGAACUUCAGCAGUCAAUAAAGUCAAUAUGGAUUUUUA